AGUUUAAAAUUUCACCAAUUUAUAUUGUUAAAAAUUAGUGUGGCUUAUGGAAUAACCGAACAAUGACACUUGGCUGCCACGUGUGCCUUAUGCUGACGUACAAUGACCAAUUUUUAAUAGUAGAAUUAGAUGAAAAUUUUAAAGA
rfam:Gossypium raimondii Chr06_contig_1287, whole genome shotgun sequence.